AAUAUCCAAGUUAUCAUGUAGUCUCAGAACCCAAUUUGUAAGUCGCUCUGGAUAAGAGCGUCUGCUAAAUGACUUAAAUGUAAAUGGUAUAUCCAAGAGAAAUGUAAUGAGGUGCCUAAAAUCCUGAUCUCGGUCCAGAGUAUGCAGGUUGUGCUGAGUACCUUGGGACUAAAGAGAAAGACUGCACCCUGAGAAUCACAGACCUGAGAGAUUUUCAGCUACAUAGAAAGUACAAGUUCAGAUUUAAAACACAGUAUGCAGAAUGAGGGUACAGCUUCCCUGUAACAACUCUGACUGACACAGGUAAUAUAUAAUAUCUAAUUCUAAUAAUUCAUUAGAAUCAUUCAGAGCUGCAGGUGAAGGUGUCUUCCUCCACAGAGGAAAAGAAGAGAACACUGACCUGUAGCACCACCUGUCUUCUGACUGACAACCCCAACCUCACCUACAUCUGGUACAACAACGGACAACAUCUCCAUGACCCUACUUCCCAACAAUACUCCUGUAAUACUCUAGUGGUCGGGUGUUACUCUACAGACAGUUACUCCUGUGCUGUAAAAGAACAUGAGGAUUUUCUCACUCCUACAUUGUGUGAGUCUGAACUCACCUAUAAUAAUCAUCAUAAGUAUCAAUCAUUAAGGCCUGUGGACCAAUAGUAGAACAUGUGGGGAAAACAGACAAAUCGGUGCACUCUUGGAUAGUAACACUAGUAGGAACUAUACAGUAUAAUAGAAAAGGUAGAAAAUGGCUGAUGGUAUGUUAUCUUGUUAUAUCGUUUUAGAAUUGACAUUUUUUAAAUUAAUUUUAGAAUAAGACUGUAAUGUAACAACAUGAAAAAGUCCAGGGUUCUGAAUACUUUCUGAAUGCACUGUGUGUGUCUAUAUAUUUUAUUCAUUUUAAAUUAACCAGUCCUAUACAUCUAAAACACUUGAAAAUAGUCUCAUUAUCGUUUGAGGAAUUGAUAAGAUACAUUUACUUUCAGGUGUUCAUGGUCAGAGCUGUUUGAAUGUGACUCACACCAAGAGGAGUAUCUGUGCCUUGAAGGGGUCAACAGUGGACAUUACCUGCACGUAUAGACAUCCCAGCUGGCAUAACGUCACAGAAGUAUCCUGGUUCAACAAAUGGGAGUCUGGAGUUACUACAGAUCUAAUCCAGGACCCAGAGUAUGCAGGUCGUGUUAAGUACCAUCCAACUACAGACAAAGACUCCACCCUGAGAAUCACAGACCUGAGAGAGAGUGACUCUGCUGAAUAUAAGUUUAGAUUUACAACAACGGAGGUAAAAUGGGAAAACAGCUUCCCUGGAAUAACUCUGUCACAGACCUGCAGGUGAAGGAGACUCCUGGCACAGAGGAAGAGAAGGUGACACUGACCUGUAGCACCACCUGUACUCUAACUGACAACCCCACCUACAUCUGGUACAAGAACAGACAACUUCUCAUCAACCCAAGAUAACUUCCUGAUCCUAGACCCAGUCAGCAGUGAGGAUACAGGCAGCUACUCCUGUGCUGUUGAAGACUACGAGAAUUGCCUGUUACGUUAGUCUUUGAAGAAUGAUGUUGUAGGAAUCAUAGUUGUUGUUCUGAUUCUAAUACUCUGUGUCUUUGGGUUCAGUUGAGUGAGAUGAAUUUAUCCUUUUUCAAAUUAUAUUUUAUAAUGAUCAAAAUCAUUUAUAUUGCUUGAUUGAUUGUUGAUUGAUGUAUUAAUUGAUUCAUUCAUUCACAAAACAGGAAGAAGGCCUCCAAUUCCACCUCUGACACAAGAGACGGAAGAGACACAGCAGAGAACGGACAGAGAGACUCUAAUCCAGUGUAUGACAACAUCUCAGGCAUGAACUUGUCCCCUAUUGCAGCACAGAGAGCGAUCACAGACGAGCAGGAUGACAUUACCUACGCCAGCAUCCAACACAGAAACCAGGAAGUGCCUCUUGACUCCACCGUCCCACCGUCUCACCCCCAGAAACAGGACGAGGAUUUCCAGUACACUACUGUGAAAUUCAACAGCCCCAGUGCUGCUCAAUAGACAUUGGGAGGGAUUCAAUCCAAUCAUAGAGGGGGGAUCUUUUUUUUUUACAGCAACUUCCUUGUUGUAAUAUCUCAAACGGGGAGUUUCAGCAUUAAGGAUUCCAGCUUUAAAUAACACAAUAUAACCAACUUUAUUCAUAGUAAAUGUACUAUAAAUCACAGUGAUUUAAACAUCCCAUCCAUACACCACACUAAACCUACACAUAGUCUGUGUCUGAAAUGGCAUCCUAUUCCCUACAUACUGUCAGGUGACAUUUCAGACACAGAUUUCCUCUUUAACUGUUAAGGGCCAAACAAAUGAUACCAGUUCAACAGGUUGAAGGUUGUAGCUGCUAUGCCACCUUGUUUAAUGAGGUGAGGUCCUCAAUAAAUGACUAAAUACAACUAAACACAGGUUCUUUUCAUCAGGGGUGGGGCAUGGAAAUGACACAGUGAGAUGCUGCAAUUGACAGCUUCUGUUUAUCUUUUGUAUCUAAGCAACAAUAUAUAGCAGCCAUAAAUCAUUAACCAAUG